rnacentral:lncRNA from 1 species
UAUCCCUUCGUUCAGUGGUGGACAGUGGGCUGUUUUCACCUUCCAGGUGCUGUGAAGAGCACUGCCCUGGACGUUAAGCGUUGUUUGAACACCUGUUUUCACCUCUCUUGGGUAUGCCCGAGGAGUGGAAUUGCUGGAUCACAUGGUGACUCUGUUUGCUUUUUGAGAAAUCACCAAACUAUUUUCACAGCAGCUAAAAUAUUUCAUGCUGCCCCUGGUGUUGUAUGAGGGUUUCAUUUUUUUCUCCAUCUUUGCAAAUACCCCUUAAGUCUUUUUAUUUUUUAGAUGGGUGAUAGUAAGACAUUUUCCUUCAUAGCCUGGAAGGAUCCAACAGAGGAAGAAAUUGUGUGUGCUGAAGAUAAAUGAGAUCACUGCUGCAGAGAAAUUCAAGAGGACAAGAGGCACAGGCCCAUAGACCCAGUGAGGGAUCCUCCAAAAUGAGAAGUCUGUUAGGUGUUGGACAAAUGAAAUGAGAAAAGAGAACUGUCUCUGCCUUCAAGGCCCUGGAGGGUCUCUGGUGGGCUUCUCACCCCAGGGUGAGAAGCUUCCCCACUGGGCAGUGGGGAAGAAAUGGGAUUGUGAGUGGUCUUGCUUUAAAUCUUAGUGCUCACCCACAGAUGUUGCUUUGGAUGCGUAGUCUAAUCCUUAAACUUCAGUAUCCACAGACACACAACGGAAUGCUCUGCUCUAGGACUCAGUGAGGCUUAUGCAUGACAUGUGCCUGGCAUACAGUAGGUGCUUAUUAAAUGUAGGCCCUGCUCCUUGGUUCAUUCUUUCAAUACAUUGUGAAUUAUUGGAUAGAAGUAACAAAUUUACUGCUAUUUGCAACCUUCUUAGCUUCUAGC